rnacentral:tRNA from 1 species
GCUCGUAUGGCGGAAUUGGUAGACGCGAUAGACUCAAAAUCUAUUUCCCACAAGGAGUAUCGGUUCGACUCCGAUUACGAGCA